GUAGGUGAACCUGCGGAAGGAUCAUUAACGAUGGCUGUUUUUUUGUGAAACGUGUGUGUGUGUGUGCGUUGUAUUGAAAGAAGACUUUUAACAAUGGAUCUCUUGGCUCCC
rnacentral:misc_RNA from 1 species